rnacentral:rRNA from 1 species
AGUAAAGCUUGAUCUGGCUCGGCUAAGUCCCGAAAACCCGCGAAUUCACCGCAAGAGGUUUGAGUAAAAGAGGGUAACCUGCUAGUAACACUGGGAUAAUACGGGAAACCGGAACUAAUACCGGAUAGUUCCUUGAACCGCAUGGUUCAAGGAUGAAAGACGGUUUCGGCUGUCACUUACAGAUGGACCCGCGGCGCAUUAGCUAGUUGGUGGGGUAAUGGCUCACCAAGGCGACGAUGCGUAGCCGACCUGAGAGGGUGAUCGGCCACACUGGGACUGAGACACGGCCCAGACUCCUACGGGAGGCAGCAGUAGGGAAUCUUCCGCAAUGGACGAAAGUCUGACGGAGCAACGCCGCGUGAGUGAUGAAGGUUUUCGGAUCGUAAAGCUCUGUUGUUAGGGAAGAACAAGUGCGAGAGUAACUGCUCGCACCUUGACGGUACCUAACCAGAAAGCCACGGCUAACUACGUGCCAGCAGCCGCGGUAAUACGUAGGUGGCAAGCGUUGUCCGGAAUUAUUGGGCGUAAAGGGCUCGCAGGCGGUUUCUUAAGUCUGAUGUGAAAGCCCCGGCUCAACCGGGGAGGGUCAUUGGAAACUGGGAAACUUGAGUGCAAAGAGGAGAGUGGAAUUCCACGUGUAGCGGUGAAAUGCGUAGAGAUGUGGAGGAACACCAGUGGCGAAGGCGACUCUUUGGUCUGUAACUGACGCUGAGGAGCGAAAGCGUGGGGAGCGAACAGGAUUAGAUACCCUGGUAGUCCACGCCGUAAACGAUGAGUGCUAAGUGUUAGGGGGUUUCCGCCCCUUAGUGCUGCAGCUAACGCAUUAAGCACUCCGCCUGGGGAGUACGGUCGCAAGACUGAAACUCAAAGGAAUUGACGGGGGCCCGCAUAAGCGGUGGAGCAUGUGGUUAAUUCGAAGCAACUUGAAGUACCUUACCAGGUUUUGACAUCCUUUGACACCCCCAGA